UGGGCCGUCUAUCUGCGAUGAUAGUUUACUGCACUGCAAUACGUACGAUGUGCGCGCUAUGACCAACAUGCUCCGUGCUGUACGGUACGGCACGCAGGGGAUGUACUGCUCAGCCGCGGGUUGAAGAUACGGAUUGGAGUGGAUGUCGGUGCUGCCAUGGUUCGCCUGGUUCCCCGCACGGGUCGUUUGGACUACGUGGGGAAGCCCCUCAACCGCGCUGCCAGGAUCGCAGCCAAGGCCAAGGCAGCCACGGUGGGUGGGUGUGGUAGUAGGGGUGGGUGUAGUGAUACACUAACGUGCCCUGUCGGGUCCUACCACUCUACCCUUAGUUUGGAUUUACUCUUCCCCCUCCACCCUUGCAUGGUUUUCAUCUUCCUCCACGGGGGCUCUCAUUCCGUCGUCAUUCCGUCGUCAUCCCGUCGCAGAUGCUGGUCAGUGGGGCGGUGUGGGAGGCGUCUCAGAGGGCGAUGGAAGCGCGCGGUGUGUCGGCACGCAACCUUGGCUGCAUGAACCUGAAAGGAGUGCAGAAGCAGCUCGACCUGUGGGUCAUCCGCCCUAGGGUAUCACAGCUGGCACAGCAGCAGCAGCAGCAGCAGCAGCAGCAGCGGGCCGAGGAGGAUUAGGAGCGGGCUCCAGCUCCAGUGAUGGGCUCUGAUGACGAUAUUGUAAUGAUGAAAGAAACGAGUUGUUGGGCCGUGAACUGACGAAUAACCAGUGAACGGCUGAUGGUUGAUUGCUUGUUUGCUUGACGAGGGCUUCGCAGCUGGUGGAUGGAAAAAGUGGAACAAUAAUGUUAAAUAAAUUUGGGCUCACCGAAACUCAAUUACCCCCUUUGGACGCUAGUCUGGGCUGAUGUGCGGUGUUUUUCCUUUUCUCCGUGGCUUUUAGGCGUUGUAGUAUUGCCCUUGGGCCUUCGGCUCGUAUGGGUAGUCUUACAGGUAUGGGGUCACGCACCCCCAACCAUGUAACACACACACACACAACCCUAAAUAAAUUUGAAGUAAAUCUACCUAGAAGUGUCGUUGUUGUUGUUACAUUGUUGGGCCUGGGACCAGACCCGACGUGUACACUGCUGUGCAGCGAGCUUAGUUGACCUCGUAACGUGUGUGCGUGUGCGUGUAUUUCUGUUUGUGUGUGUGUGUGUAUGUGUGUGUGUGCGCGCGUGAGGAUGUGUGUGUGUGUGUGUGUGUGUGUGAAGGNNNNNNNNNNNNNNNNNNNNNNNNNNNNNNNNNNNNNNNNNNNNNNNNNNNNNNNNNNNNNNNNNNNNNNNNNNNNNNNNNNNNNNNNNNNNNNNNNNNNNNNNNNNNNNNNNNNNNNNNNNNNNNNNNNNNNNNNNNNNNNNNNNNNNNNNNNNNNNNNNNNNNNNNNNNNNNNNNNNNNNNNNNNNNNNNNNNNNNNNNNNNNNNNNNNNUACUGUUUUACUUAACGUAAGUGACAGUCGCUGCCGUUUGGAGUAACAAAGCAAAGUCCUAAUCAGGCUGUCCUUUUAUGUUGGCUAUUGACGGCUGGCUGGUGCUAGUAGUGCUAGCGACGCAUGCAAGCCCGGCUAAACAUGUCGCACGUGCGGCAGGGCGUGGCUGGUGCUCCCCUGCCUGUGGCGCCGUUAAUUGUAUAUUGCAUGUGUAGCAGAUAGAACAUUCCCGGCGUAUGUGUUGCUGCUCCAGAACGUGAAUCCAGUAGUAUGACUCAGAGCCAUCUGUUUAGAUGUGUGUAUAUGUACGUGUAUAUGUCGCACCGUUUUAUCCCCAACGGAACGGCUGCCGUAUGUGUGAGUAUGUGUGUGUAUGUGUGUGUAUGUGUGUGUAUGUGUGUGUAUGUGUGUGUAUGUGUGUGUAUGUGUGUGUAUGUGUGUGUAUGUGUGUGUAUGUGUGUGUAUGUGUGUGUAUGUGUGUGUAUGUGUGUGUAUGUGUGUGUAUGUGUGUGUAUGUGUGUGUAUGUGUGUGUAUGUGUGUGUAUGUGUGUGUAUGUGUGUGUAUGUGUGUGUAUGUGUGUGUAUGUGUGUGUAUGUGUGUGUAUGUGUGUGUAUGUGUGUAUGUGUGUGUAUGUGUGUGUAUGUGUGUGUCUCAUGCACAUGUGUCUCUCAGCUGGCAAGACCACGUAUGAUACACAGGGGGACAAAUCCCCCCCGUGUCAUAUAGACGUUGGAGUCCACCCGUGGCGGUACCUCGGCGCCCCCACAGGCCAGGAUGCGAUGGGACAUACAGCAGCAGGCAGGCAGUGAGGGCGACGGAAAACACGAUGAGAAGGGACUCUGUGUAUCAUCUAGGCAGUGUACGAGUAUCUGUGUGUGCCGGUGUGUGUGCCGGUGUGAUUGUGUGAAGGGAGAGGAUGUCAUCUUCUACAUCCCCACUCGGCGUGGCAAAAGUCAUGGCAAGUGAUGCCGUCCAUGGGGCGUCCCCCCCAACUCAACCGGCCUUUACAGACGUCCACCUUCGCACUUGUGACUCCGGAACCUGGUUAACAUGUGUUUAACUUGUGUGUCUGUAUGUGACUUUGCAGCUGAUGUGUAUAUUACGAGGUACAAGUCCUCCACACACACAAAAAUGUGAGCGGCGUCCGUAAAAGACGGUGGGGGCCCUAUGGGUGGGGGCCCUAUGGGUGGGGCCAACGAAAGAAUUUAAAGCCGUGAUUGUGGCGCCGGGAAUAAGGAUGUCGACGUCCUCUCUCUCGGUGUGCGCCACCUGCUGGUCUCGGCACACCUGGUCUCGGCACACCUGAGCGCGAUGUGUUUCCCCCUGGGCUCCCUGAGCAGACCUCACCGACAGAGAAAACUAGCCAACACUUACAGAGGGAAGGCUUCCACCGUAACGGUGUGGCUGGGCAUUUCACGCCCUCGGCAAGCCGCUUUCCCCAUCGAUGUAUUAACUUGGAUGGCCCCCAUAGGCCGGUGGGCAAUCACAAAAGACAUGCAGCUCGUCCUCAACUACUCCGCAGUCACAAAGCCUAUUGUACACGCUGCACGCUCGUGGCCAAUAGGCCUGUUAGUUACCUUUCAUAAUCCCCAAGGACCUGUAUUCUGAAACACGUGAGCAACCUGACUCCACUGUAGCUAGCAUUUGUUAAGACCAUCAAAGCGCCACGGGCUCCCCCCGGGUCCUAUUAAUGCUGUUACCAUCCACUGGUAUAUGAGUGUUUUCCGGUCAUUUCCAACACCAAAGGAGUCCAGGAUGUGCCUGUGCAGCUGAGCAUAUCUAUGGUCCUGGCGGAUACAUAAACUUUUUAAAAUCGUGUCAUCAAUCGCGUAUAUAAUUUAACGCCAGUAAGGCGCUUGAGUCGUUGGAUCCCGGCCUUCCUUGAUGUUCGGGUACAGUACAACGCGGCUACCUGCUGAUGAUAACAAGUAUUUUACCAAUAUAUUGCCUAGAAAGCUUUGGAGUUACGGAAGCGUUUUUUGGGCGGGGUCCCAGCGCGAAGCGCCCAGGGGGGCCCCGACCUGUAGGAUUGCCCAUGUCCGCGUGUGCGUGUGUGCGUGUGUGCGUGUGUGCGUGUGUGCGUGUGUGCGUGUGUGCGUGUGUGCAUGUGUGCGUGUGUGCAUGUGUGCGUGUGUGCGUGUGUGCGUGUGUCCGUGUGUCCGUGUGUCCGUGUGUGCGUGUGUCCGUGUGUCCGUGUGUCCGUGUGUCCGUGUGGCCACAUGGCCGUGUGGCCGUGUGGCCAUGUGGCCGUGUGUGUGUAACGGACCAAACAUAAUAUUUCACCCGGCUGAAACGCGUUAUCGGUACUAUAUAGCAUUCUCUAUUGCAAGGUAUCUCGACUGUAGCCAACAAAGAUCGUAUGAGCACAAACAACUUUGGCUGCUUCCAUUGACCGAGCUCAUAGACACAUCAACGCCUCUCGGGCUAAACUUCGUCUCAAAAGGUGUCGUGUAUCUCAUAAUUGAAUUCCGAGAUGACAGCGUAUGAUAACUUGAACACCCAGCUCGUGUUACAAUUUGCCCGCACGGGCAUUCCGACUUGCGGUCUGCCGCACUGUCCAUGCGGCAUGCACCCGGGAUGGAUGCGAUUCGCGUGGAGCCCGCAGGCGGUGCUGACGAUUCCGCCGGUGCAAGCUUAGCUCCCACACCAUCAGCACUGCUGCAACAAAGCACAUCUCCCACCGCGGUGACACUACCCAUCAAUUGUCACACGUGCCGCGCUAGCUACCGGCCUGUACGGAUGCAGGCUUUUUCCGGCUUCGAGGAAGCCGACACCCGACUUGUCGUCCUAGGCUCAUGUCACAAGGUUUCCUGCCAAAACCAUCAGCAGUCAUCAGUCCAACCCCCGUGGUAGGACAUCUAUAACAAUUACUCAAUGCACAAUUUUAAACAUUAUCGCAGAAUUGUUUUGCCCUGCUGCACCGCCUGGGAUCUGCGAUACGCAUCGAGGCAGGUACAUUAGCUGUCGCGGAGUCCCAUGAUAGACUUACGUUAUGGUCGAGGUAUUUAUACUAUGAGCUUCGCUAUUGGUUGAUGUCAUGUAUUUUUGUAGACAAUCUAAACUGGAGCGAGGGGCCACCGUCCUCGCAAAAGCAAACGUGCCCCCCCCCCCUUCCCGGAGUGCUGGAGUGGAAGUUGGCUAACGAACUACGGCGACGCCAGGAACACCAAUUGAGUUAUGACGGGAACGAAGGAAACGCGUGCAGAAAUUUCCAGCGGUCGACAACGCACGUUGGCCGGCACGCUGACCGGUCGUAAAGCCACUGCUGAUCCCCCAGCAACAUAUAUUGAGGCGGAAGAGCCGUUACUUGGGCCAUCGGGCAGCGCCGGUGAAGCUCUCCAGGUCUACUUUUCCCAGCACCACCACCUCCCACCUCCGGAAACGCCAGCACCGUGGCCCUUCCUCCACAGAAGAAAAGGCACACUCAAGCCAACACUGCCGCCACCGGUCCCACUCAGCAGCCAGCACCUCUCCUGCCCACCAACCCCAGCACCACCGCUCCCAAACAGCAUCCGGCAACACGCCUGCCCCCCGCCACCCCCAAUGCCACCGCCAACCCGCAACGGAAGCGCACCAAGUCCACCAAUAAGAUCGAUGCCGUUGGUGUCCCCCCGGGGUUUGAGCGGCCUCGUAAUCCCAACGAGGACAUUAUUUGGCUGACUGACACUUGUGGUGGUGAUUUCAAGAGCUGGGCCUAUGCACUUCAGGGCUCGACGACGGUCAUCUGUUUUUUUGCGACACACAUAAGGAGAGUAACGCCACCAUUUCCCGCACGAACUGGGAUCGCUCAGCUUACACCCGGCACGAGGCCUCCUACUCCCACAAAGCGGCUGUAGUCCAGUACGUGGCGCCAAAAUGUUUUUAGGUUUAUUGACCGAAAUUAUGCCCUCCCGCAGCCGUAGAAACCGAUUUGCCGACCUCUGGACAUGUAUAAUGAAAAGCGAAAAUGUUGGCAUCCGUACAUUGGCAUCCGAACCGUUUGCUAUGUCUCAUUUCCAGAUACAAAAUCCUCUACAGUCAUGUGAAUGGUGUUUGAUUUAGUUUGGAAACGCGAGAAGCCACGGUAGGCAGGUUUGAACGUUGCAACGCACAUUUGCGCUUUUUGAACGAACUGCAGCAAAUGCACAUCUGAUGCACGUUUAUAUGGUAUCCAUUCCACAGGGUAGCAGAGGUCCGUGCGACCGCCUCCGCGAUAACGGUAGUUGGGCACACUGCAGUUGGAGUACUGCAGUGGGGAAUGGCUUCUGAUGGCGGGGCUGUUGGAGUAUGGCGGAGUAUGCAGCAGGAGCAUAGGGAGAAUGAAGUCUCACUUUGAUGGGUUGCACAGAUAGGGAGGCGCUCCAGUCUCGCUGGCAUCCUGAAGGCUGAACACGGUCGAGGAGAGCUAUAGUUAUCAGUGGUGUUUUAAGCUGCCCCUGCUGUAAAGGGGGCCAAGAUGGUCAUGUUCGACCCGUCGGUAUCAGGUCUCUCCUAAAUAAGCGUUCUCCAUGGCUUUUAGGUGUAUAGAUAUUGCCCUUGGGCCUUUUACAGGUAUGGGGUCACACACCCCCAACCAUGUGCGUGUGUGUGUUACAUGGCAAUAUCUAUACGCCUAAAAGCCACGGAGAACAGGAAACACCGCACAUCAGCCCAGACUAGCGUCCAAAGGGGGUAACUGAGUUUCGGUGAGCCCAGAUACGUUCCAACAUCCUCGCCAGAUGUGCUGGUUCCCAUUUCAUGGCUCCAACAUGCUCUGUUGAUGAUCGAAUCCCUCUUCAGCACGAAUAUCAUUAUAGGCUGGGCAUUCUAAUAACACGUGUUUUUCAUCCUCCAAACCGCUGCUCCCUGGGGACAUGGUACUUGCUUCGUGCUCUGUUUGCCUCCAAAGCCCAGCAACAUAAACGAAACUGCAUUAGCUUACGAUGUGUCGCCCUGAUGUGCUCUAACAAAACGUGCAGCACUGGGACGAUACAGUUCCUUCGGCUCGUAUGGGUAGUUUUACAGGUAUGGGGUCACGCGCUCCCAACCAUGUAACACACACACACACACACACAAUAAGUGUGGGACACCUGGUGUGUGGACAGGACUGACAUUAGAGUGAGGUCCUAAACUUGGCACUGUCCAUCGGUUAUUGAUGUUAUAUAGCCAAGCGUGCGCUUCGAAAGUCCAACUUCACCAGAACCCAUAAAUCCAGCCUUGCGUCUGUUACAGGCCAUACCGGCACAGCAGGGAAGCCAAAUACCUUACAGCCCAAAGUCAUCCCCUCGACCCCAAAGCUUGACCACAUACUUCUUAAACCUAAAUAAAAUUAUAGCCAAGCGCGCGCCAUUGGCCGAUGGCCACUCCUGAGAUGCCGUCACCGCUGCCACCUGCUGCCGUACGAAGGCCAAUCCUGGGACACUGUCAUCGCUGCCACCUGCUGCCGCAGCGAUAGGUGGCAUUUUCCAGCUCGUGAGGACUUUGCAUCACCACAACAUGGGCAUGAGUUGAGGGUCCCAGCCAGAGGUCGGCAAACCCUGAAUAACUGUCACGGGUACUGGUGCCAGGGGGGGGACUCCCAGCCGGCCAUCCUUCUAAGGCUUCUGGGAAAUCUUCUUCAAGGCCUUGCAGAUAUUUUUUGCAGGUUUUAGCCCGUUUUUUUGCAGGCUAAAAGCUUUGCGUGCUCUCUUCCUAGUUGGUGCCACUGUGACCUUUUUGCUCUUGAAAAACUUCGCGAAGGGAUUGUCUAUGUACUUCAUUUGCAAUAAAGGCUACAUCAAAGAAAUGAGAGUUUACAUGAAGCUAUGUAAAGAGUGUAGAAAGCAUUAUUGGCGUUUGCCUGCUUAUAGGUGCACUACGAGUCCGCGGUGCAUGACUCCUUUGUACUGGAGGUAUGCGGCCUAAUGGUGGUAUUAUGUAGAGCUCUCCUGAUUACAAAUAUGCAGCAGUUUUUUAUUCCCAAACUUUAGACAUUCUUCCGGGGAGUUCGCAAGGUCCCCGUUCACGGAGGAAAGCCGCGCUGGCAGGUCCCCGGCCCUAAGAAAAUCUGUUGCUGGGGAUGCUGGCAUAGCUCUACCAAAGUAUGACCGCUUUGCGCAAAAUUUAAGCUAUAAAGAAAAGCAAUAAUUGACUCAAUUGGUGUUCCUGGCCUCGCCGUAGUUCGUUAGCCAACUUCCACUCCGGGGCAUAGGCACUCCCCGGCCGGCCGGCCCCCCCGCGGGGGGGCAGCACCGUCCCAGCAACGGGGAAAAGGCCUUUCAGACACCGCAAAUAUUCUUGGAUCCUUCACUGGUAUUAUAAACGUCAAUUAUACAUUACACAAUUAAUUCCCUGCUCAUAUCUACAGCGGUAACUAUCCUCGAGCGGCUGCAUCCGAGGACAUGUUGCCUCUUUUGACAUCUGCAUUGCUGGGGCUAAGUCUAACCCCGUUCGCGUACAUCCUAUAUGCAAUCAUAUGGCCCUAUCUAUGUUCUUUGCCACUACGGAUUAAGCUCCAGAACAUGCCGGGUCCCCCUGGCCGGAUAUUUUUCGGCAAUGCUUUCGAUCUCGUCUACAAGCCAGCGCAACAGCAGAUGGCUAAAUGGGCAGAAGAAUAUGGACCUAUCUACAAACUGAGCCUUCCAGGAGCCAUGGUGCGCGUUUCCAACUGACCAUAUCUUGAAAGUAGUUUGAAAGUAGUGGAGGAAUUCAGUUUCCGUCCUCUGCAUUAAGGAUAUGUAUAUUAGCUGCCAUACGGGAUGCGAUCGAUAGCUUCAGCGUCAUCAAUCGUUGCAGCGAACCCAAACUGCAACCUCUCCGCAACUUCUCAGCAACGUCAUGAGUUACAUACUUGGCGAGGUGUACCUUAUCUAUGUAUCUAUCUUUAUAUGUAUAUCUUUUGCCCCUGUGUGUGUGCUAAUCACUACCCGCUUGGCGGAUGUUAAGGAGUGCGGGCCGGCCCCAACACCCACUGCCCUGCUCACAAAUUGAAGGGAUUUGAAGGUUGAUAAUCACAAAUAUGAAUUGUAUGAUCCAGCAUAGCCAAGCCGUUGACACACACACACACACACACACACACACACACACACACACACACACACACACACACACACACACACACACACACACACACAACUUUCCGUGGCUUGGGUUUUGCCAGGUAGUUCGUUGAGGAGGGCCGUAGUGUUGACGGCUUUGGUUAUAGGGUUGGGCUUUGGGGCUUAGGGCGCCGGUAGGGCGGCCCCUCACGUUAGGAGGGGCGCCCAGGUGUUGCAAGGACCCACCCGGGGUGCGCAACCGCGCCUGCGCUGAGGUUGGUCGUUUGAGGGCGCUCUCUUUCCUCUGGACAAAAGGGGGAAACGCGGGGGUGCACGCCCUCGGUCGAGCAGGCGGGGAUAGUGGCCUCUCAAGCCCCUCUCCCCCACAAAGAGGAGAGUGCUUCGGGGGUCGCUCAUUCCCGUUGGGGUACACCGGGUUAGGUGGCCCUGGCCAGUGUCAGCCCCGGAUCGACAUGUAACAGAAGCAUACACACACAUACACACACGUGCGGGCACGUUUCCCCUCGUUACCGUACUUCAUCUCCAUGGGAAUUUUCAUACCUCCUUUAAAACCCUAAAACCCUUGAAACCCUUGAGUGCAAUGCUUACCGUUAUCUUAACAUCAUAUCGCGCGCCUCACACGUGCCUGUCCCAACCUGUCAGGUUGUCGUACUAACGGAACCGGAGGCAAUAACAACGGUCAUCAAACUGGAACGCUUCGAAAAAGACCGAAUGAUGUAUAAAGUACUGGAAGAAGUGAGUCGUACGUUCGUACCGGUGUUUUGUGGAGGCACUCCCGUUUCGGCCACUCUGUUGCCCCCCGGGGGUUAUAAUUCCCUCUUCCGUUACGGAUACGGAAAAAACAUUUCCCCUCCCCCCCUUCAACUGCAAAAUUUCUACCCCCACAAAAAAACACAAUGCACAAUGCACACGCAGAUUACCAGCGAGACGCUUCCAAAUAUGUUGACAGUUCCCACUGGGCCGUACUAUCGUGCCGUACGCAAGGCUAUAACGCCUGCCUUCAGCAGCGCCAAUCUGAGGUGGGACCAAGGCAGGGCUCGACACCGAUGGGAGCUGUGUACGGCAGCUGUGUGCGCUUAUAUUUUGGAUAAUGAAACAUCCCUUUGUGUGUGUAUGCAUGUAUGUGUGUAUGCAUUCGUAUGCAUUCUGGUAUGCAUUCUGGUAUGCAUUCUGGUAUGCAUUCUGGUAUGCAUUCUGGUAUGCAUAGCAUGGCUUUCACAUGUUGGCAGCUCGCGUAACCACAUGUUAGCAUAUAUCCACGUCUUGAGAACAAGCAAGUGAACAAGAGUAUGUAUGCGUCUAUGCAUGUGAGUGUGUGAAAGCGCGGGGGUACACCACCACGCGUCGGUCUGCAAGGGCCACUGAUGUCGCGGAACAAGAAUGCGAAGGGAGCCGGCGGCCCAAUAUUUGUUACCUUUGAUGUUUAGAGUUUAGGGUUCAACCGUUACUGAAAGAGAUGUUCACAGCGACAUUACAAUUUCAUCAGUACGCUGAUCAGCGAUUAACACGCCAGGGUUACACUCGAGCUGGCGAAAUGGUCUCACCUGGACGGACGGCCAUCUCGUUCCUUACCCCCGUGCUUGGUGGUCGUUUCCAUCCCGAGCCCCCUUCAUUUCAACCGCCAAACCCCCCGCCUGUUUAGGCAAUUCUUUCCUGAGUUGGUGUCCCUGACGGAGCGCCUGGCGGCGCAGCUAAUGACCCACGGGUCCGUAGUUCCAGUGGAUGUGGACAGAGCGGCGCAACGGUUAACCAUCGACGUCAUCGGUGAGUUGGCGGGCGCAGUAUGGUGGGCGGUAUGUUGGGCGGUAUGGUGGGCGGUAUGGUGGGCGGUAUGGUGGGUGCGGCGUGGUGGGCGCAGGAUGGCGGCCGCGGCCGUGCAGGGCAAGCUCUUGGGAGGAUACGCGAUAUGGUGAGAUAGCGGGUCCAGGCGCCGUGCGAGGAAACGAGUCCACAAACCCGCAAGUAUUCAGUUAACACUUCCAAAGAAUGCGUCGCUGUGGUACUUCUGCUGUUUUACAUAUCUCUACUGCUGAUAUGCAUGCCGUACAGGUCGCUUUGCAUUUGACCGCGACUUUGGCGCUUUAGGCUUUAGCCGCAGCGAGGAGCUGGAGGCGAUCUGUGCGCUGAUGCUUGCGUUGGAGACGUCCCAAAAUCCGCUGAACCGCUGGUUUUGGUGGCGUAAGGUGAUUGGAGGGAAUGGAAGCGGCAGGAGGGGGGAGAAGAGAGAAGAAGAGGUUGGCAGAUAGUGCCGGAGAUGGGUUGAAGGUAACCCUAAAUCUUUAAUACCCUAAAACCAGGUAGGGAAAGGUGAAGGGUAGGAGUCUGGGACUAGCGUUUCACUUUGUUCUUAGGGCUCUGUUCGCUGUUCUCUUUUUCGUUUCGAGUUUUGCUUGGUCAACAGGAAUCUCCACCGCGCCACGACUUAGGGGAUUUUAGGGGCAGAGGAAAAUUGAAUAAUACGUAAAUGUCAUAACUCGCCUACAGUUAAGCUGACAACCAUGUAAAUGGCAGCCAGUAGACCAGUCAUACAUCAAUGGCACGCAUUCCAUGUACGAACGUUGUACAAGAGUAAUUGUUUCUGCUACAUUCUGGAUGUUUUACUUCUGUAUUCGACAUACGGGUGCUGCAGGAGGCGCGGGAAUUGUAUGCAGCACGGUUGCGCUAUGAUGCCCUAAUAAGGCGGGUUUUGGACGGGCUACAGCAGCGCCCGCCAGCCGCACACUGCCUACUAUCGCACCUGCUGAGGUGCACAGACCCGACUACUGGUGAGAUUGACGAUUGACUGGUGAGAUUUAUCUCUUUAUCUGAUGACCUAAUGGCCACCAGAUUACGAGAUGGCGCAUGAUUCCUGAUAACCGAGAGGACCGGCAGACGUACCAUGCAUGUCUUUUUAUGUAAUGCAGCCGUGUGCCCUCGUACCUAAUGGCGAGACAUCCGUUUUGUAUCCUCCCUGCUCAUAACAGGCAAACCGUUGUCCGCAAAGCGCCUGCGCUGCGAGACUGCCUUUCUCUUGGUCGCGGGAUUCGAGACGACGGGUCACGGCAUCGCCUGGUCGCUCUUAUUUCUGGCUGGCGACGAAGAGGUGAUGAGUCGUGCUGUUAGAAAGGUUUAAACAGUUAAGGAAUACAAAGAAAUGAACCGUUACAUAUCGAACUCAAAUAGAUGGAAGCAAAAACAUUCGAGAUAUACCGAUAUGAUUACAGAAUUUUAGUUGCUGACAUCCAGAUUCGAACUGGAGACCUCCCGCUUACUAAACGGGUGCUCUAUCCAACUGAGCUAUGCCAGCCGAUGAAUUUUGGCAUCCUUAAUCUUUACAAACGUAUUGCAGCAUAGUGCACGUGAACGUGCUAUCUCAGGAAAUGCGAGUUACCCACUAUGAAUACCAACAGCCAGCUAAGCAGAAUGAGUGAAAAAAACAGUGCGACUUGCGAGUUUGGUGCGAUAACAGCGCAAGUAGGACAAAUAAGUAGGACAAGCGAUCCUGAAGCUUCACUUGAAGCAAUGUUACUUUUCAACAGGACGUAGCCUUCCAGGACAUCUUCGCUUAAGUAUGCUUGAUUGAAUAUUUUAUUAUCCCAAGUAUCAAUUCCGCGUGUCAUUUACUCAUCAUAAUCGCUAGCAUCGGUGAGGCUUUUCAGACGCUUGGCUUACGACCGUACAACAGGCCUGCUGAAUUAUGUUGCGGGUUUAAUCUUCGGCCGUCUUGGUUCUGUGUACUUAACAUACUGCAUGACCAUGCAGUAGAUUACGCUCCUCGCUCCUCACCGGGCUACUGUCAGAUUACAAUCAUAAUGCCAAAAAUAAAAUCAACUACUCAAAUGUCGCAAAAACUGCGGGAAUCCUUUCAUGAAAUAUUAAGUCAAAGUCGGCCAACAAAACCUUACGGCGUCCCGUACGAGUACGGGCAUGUCAUCUGCUGCCCUGCUGGUCAACAGGCUAUGUACGGUAAACCAGUAUCGGCUGACGAUGCUUGUACCUGCUAUGGUAAGCUGAUACGCCUCUUAUCCUGUUAGCACAGAAAUGCGUACUUGGUGCAUGCAGGCGGAGGCUCGGGUAGCUGAGGAGCUGGACGUCUGCGGGCUGUUGGCGACGUCCACCCGACCCAAGCCGCGACCGGUGACGUGGGGCGAUCUGGGCCAACUACGCUAUCUCAACGCAGUCAUCCAGGAAGCCCUACGACUGAUGCCGCCAGUUUCCGCUGGCACCAUAAGGUGUGCACGUCCAUGCGUGCAUGCAUGUGCGUUUCUGUUGCGUAAAGUGCAGUGGAAAUGCCUGCUUGCAAAGGCGCAGAGCGCUUUUGCUUUAUCCUGCCGGAGGGGGCUCCACAGCAGAGCUUGUGCUGUGGAUGACAGAAAACCGUAAUACUUGCUCCACAAAUCCAUGAAAAUGUGAAAGCAAUUAUUAUGUGGAUUAUCCUUGCAUAUCUGCAGCAUGCCAUCAAAUCGGGCAAAAUCAGGCUUGAUUUUGCAUUUUAGUUACACAACCCCUCCUGCUUGUAAGCCGGCAGAUGAACAUUUUUCAAUGAAUUCCUGCGGGGCUUGUACGCAUGAAUAAUCGUGGAAAGGCGUGUACAUUAGAAAAAGUAUAUAGAAUGGUGCAUGAAUUUACAUCUUAUGUCUUAAAUAAGCACUCCACAUACGGCACGUACGGCAUAUACGACGUGUACGACAUGCACACAGGACUGCUCCACGGGACACGCGGCUGGCGGGCAAGGAUGUUCCCGCGGGUGCCACAGUGUGGGUAAGAUUCCCAUGGGGAUCGGCAGGGAAGAUAUUUAUGGUAUUUUGCUAGACUUACAUGGCACAUGAUGAAAAAACGUUUGCUACUGCUGCUGCUACGGCUACGGCUACUGCUUCCCUUAUGCUGGUGUUCCUGACGCUGCCAAACUUUCCCCUCUCGGGCUAAGGCCAGCUGAUUGGCAUUAGUUCUAUUCCAACGGCAGGUUUCGGAGCCUUUUGACGAAUCCUUACCCACGUUUUAAUCACCCAUGACCCGGCAUCGACUAACCUUGUCCCCCGGCCGGUUACUCGAUUAAACAAAAAAACACGACACGGAUGAAGUUCGGCUCAGGACUUCGCGACAUAUUUUUGUGAUGGCACAACAGCAUGUUGUGUUUCGCUGACGUAGGAAUAUAAUCCCUUUGCGCCGUCAUCCGCCCCUCAACCUCACCCGCAAACCCGUUUGCUCCCCCAUCACCGUCAAUACCGCCACCGUGGCCAGAUUCCACACUACGCCGUACAGCGGUCGUCCCGCACUUGGGGAGCGGACGCCGGGAGAUUCCGACCAGAACGCUGGCUGACCGGGUUUAGUGGACUGCAGCAGCAGCAGCAAGGAGAGAAGGAGGAGGAGGGGAAGCUGCCUAAGGGGCAAUCGGAAGGCGUCACCGACGGCGGCGGCAGCAGUGGCGGCGAUGGCGCAGUACGACGUACGGCUGCAGCAGCGGCAGCGGUGAUGGCGACGGAUGAUGAGGAGGAGAUAGUCAAAGCCGCUGCGACCACCGCGGUGAGGAAGGAUUUUUCCCGUGCUUUUCCGAAAUCCUGGAUCUGGAUUUGGAUUUGGAUCUGGAUUUGGAUCUGAGCUCUCACAGGAUAUAUUUUUUGGGGAAGCGCCUUUUUUUCCGUAUUAAGAGGUAUUUGCAGGUUUUCAUUUCUAGAGGUCAUUGGUCGUUGUUUGGACUUUUGCUUGUCUUAACCGCUAUUCACAACGCUUUCCUUUUAAAGCGGGAACUAAAGGGGGUCCCCUUUAGGAAAACACCUCCCCCGCCACUUCACAUUGCCUCAUCCAACUCCUACAUCCAUUAACCCCUCUCCUGUCGACACAUCCCCAUCCCAACCACCACUACCGACCACCACUACCCCGCGUCCACAGGCUCGCGGCUGGCUUCCCUUCAGCGAUGGUCCCCGGAACUGCGUGGGCCAAUCCCUGGCGCUGUUGGAGCUACGGACGACCUUGGCGACGCUGUGCGGCAGGUUCAGGUGAGGCCGUACAUGGUUUCGGGGCUGGGGGCUGUGUAAGGCCGGACGUGGUUUGGCCGAACACCCACUUGUGAUGACCCAUCGACCCAUCGACCCACUGACCCUUCCUGUGUAACAGAUUCCGGCUGGCCGAGGAGAUGGGCGGCGUGGAAGGUGCGUGGAUGGGAUGGGAGGGCUGCCUGAGCCGGGGCUGGACACGGUGAAGGCGAUAUCGGCACCCCCCGGUGGUGGGGUAAGCGGCUGAUAGGGGCUUGGGCAGGGCCCCAAGGAGAAGGGGGGGAGAGGGUACCCCCCCGAGGAGGUGACCCCCCUCCUCUCCUCCCCACUCUCCUCCGGCCCGCAAACGAAUAAACCUCCCACUCACAUCCCCUCGACCGUGGGGAGAGGACAUGACUCCUGACUCUGGGCUCCUAGCGUGUGACACUUCACACACAACAAACAUCCCCCCUCGUCUUAAUUUUCGGAGGCUCCUCCUUCAAGGGCAUUCUUACUUGUAAUCCUAGCUUGAUAAUUGUGUCUGUGCCAUCGCUCCGAAACCCCGUACGACCAGAUUUGGCGCUGCGCACUACCUUGCGCCUCUAUCAUACCUUAAUCACGUCAUGAAAAACCGCGCGGUGUAGGGGGCCCGUGCCUGUAUGGCCUGGUAUGUCUGUUUCACACUGUAUGCCUUUAUUCAACGUUGUGUGCGUUGUGUACAUUUCCACAUUCUCACAUUUCCACAUUCUCACAUUUUCACGUUUUCACAUUUUCACGUGUGUUUACUCAGGCGUGGUGGCGGCUGCCCGCCAGGAUGUUACCCUCAAGCCGGGUGACAAGGGCCUGCUGAUGCACGUUAUCCCUCGUGUACCAACCUAGCCUAGCUUAGCCUCGCCUCGCGCCACGGUCGGGUAGGUUUUACUUUCACCCCUGGCACGACGGCACACAGAUCAAGCGAGCCCUGCGCGGAGAGCCGGCCCCCAACUGUCGUCGCUGCCGCCGCUGUUGUUGCACCGCUUAUCACGACUAUCGCUGGGGGGCGCAGGGGGAGAGUACGGAAGGGAGUCUGAGGACGUGACUGGAGCUCUGAGUCUUAGUCUUACUAUGGAGUCUUACUGAGUCUUCGUCUUACUAUGGAGUCUUACUAUUGAGUCUUUGGCGCGUUCGUCUGCAGCAUGCGCUGUCAUAACGUACAGGGUAUAUACCGGAAUGUUCUUUUCUUUAUUACGAGGUAAAACAGCUGCUGGAGAGCGGCCGAGACGGGGGACACGUUCUUCAGAAAGCAGAAAGAGAUGCCGUGCGUGGAUGUUGAGUACCCUGAUGCAGUGAUGAUCUUCAACAGAAAUGCGUUAAUUAGACAUUUUCAUUUGGUUUGGCGGCGAGGCUCCUGACAAUUUUGUUGAUUAUGAACAAUAAUGAAGGAUGGAGUGUUGUACAUCUGUCUUGUCAACGUUGUCUUAGCUGGCCGCUGAAAAGGCCUCUGAAGAUGCUGGCGGAGCACCGCAACGCGUUAUAAUUUGUAAACGUUAUCUGUGCCGUACUAUGUACCAGCUACUAAACUAACGAAGUGGUGAAAUGUUGAAAUGAGUCGUGUUUCGUUAAGGACUGUACAUUUGAGGACCUGACGCAUAAAGGACGUGGGUUCCUAUUUAGGCGACUGUGCGGAUCUCAAAGACAGACCCAUACCUGCUUGCCAUGUCAGUUUCUCCUCCUUCCCCUCUCCUUCCCCUCCCUUGCCUCCUAAAGGAGAACGCAACGAAUCUCCAAGACAUCGAAGCGUUUUCGACGAACGUAGCAACUGAACUCACAACUAAAAGUUAAUAAAAGUUAACUACAAUAGGCUACGUGCGCCAGGGUGUUCUUCUAAACACUAUGCCACAAACCAAACUGUAUAUACAAACUCUGGAACUCUGGAACUCUCUCAGCCACUGCUGGAUCUAGCUGGAUCUUAUUAUUGUCUGUGAUACCUGCAAUAACUGUCAUGGCAAGUUCGUUUACCCGCUGAAUGAGACUAUUCAUGUCUCUCCUAAUGCCGCCAAUCGACACUUCUGAUGGACGUGCAGGUAGGGUAGCAAGCGUCGUGAAUAGUGAAUAGAAAAAUAGAAACGCGGGAUGUCAUUUUUCAGAAAGGAGGAUUGAUGGUCUAGUCCAUUCAAGUAUUAACCGCAAAGAAACUCUCGCCCUAUUUUCUCGCAUUCGCUUAGCAUGCUUUCAAGCGGCACAUUACCUGGAUAAUACCAGCGCGCGCGCCCUGUUGACUUUUCUCGUACGGCUGCUCGUCGUACUUGACAAGUCGUACUUAACAACUCUAAGAACGGAAGGGACCUCUCGACCUGUUACAACUUCAGAAAAUCAAGAAAAGUUGCAAGAUCGUAAGGUACGAAGUCUGCCGUACGCACGUGUUUUGUCGAUGCUGCUACAGUCGUACGACGCGACAUUGGUUCGUUGGAAGGACAGUAAGAAGCAGCUCUGACGUGCAUUGCUAAGCCAUAAACGGUUGCCCCCAACCGCCACAUAUUGGCAAGUUUCAAUUUUUGAGCAAGAAUGUUAACUGCCGUACACUGUACGGCAUUGCACUUCGACAUUUAACUGGCUCCAAACACGGCAGCAGUUAUUUCUGCCAUAUCAGACAAACAAUUUUGAUACCAACUGCCACAACGAACUAACGUAAGCAUUUUCCAAUUAAAACAUUUAUCAUCACUACAAAUCCUACCGCUAAACUAAAGCUGAACGGCCAUUACGAAACAAUCAAACCAACGAGCUAAUCCAAGAUUGCGCUGCGGUCCUCAGUCCUUUGCUGUACAAUGAAUGACUGCUGGCUACCUCUGCCUAGUCCCUGCCUCGCAGUGCAUAACACGUGCCCCCAUUUGCUGCCGUACAAGUACGGAAACUAACCCUAGUGCCUUUUCCAUUCCCCCGAAACACAACUGAGUGAACAGAGUCGACCUCCACCUGCGAGAGCCAAACUCUAAUUUUUAAACCAACAAGACCAACCUACCUACCUACCGAGAGACAGACAGACAGACAGACAGACAGUCAAACAGACAGACAAAUAGACAGACAGACAGUCAAAAACACAAGACAGCAUCACAGCAACGCACUCCGUACUUCGCGUGUAACACCCUGGGACCCCGCGCCCAGGGUGGCGGCCGCCCUGCCGUACCUGCCGUACCUGCUGAGGUCUUCGGAAAGGGCUCCGAACUGAGGCCUGGAAACCUGCCGAAGAGAACCGCGGAGAAUCCAACAUGGCAUGUACGAUACUAUGUACAACACAGACAGAACCGAGGAGAAUGUAACACGGCAACUUGUCACGCCGCCUCAUCUCAUCGUAACCCAUCGCAACCAACACCAAGAGCAGCUACAGCCACAGCAGUUGCUGCAGCAGUAGCAGCAGCAGUAGCAGCGACAGUUCACUAGAGGUCAGCCGUCGGCGCCGCCGCCGCCGCCGCCGCCGCGGCUUGUCCCGCUGCCGCCGCAGCAGCAGCCGUUGCCGCCGCCGCCGCCGCGGCGGCGGCGGCAGCGCCGUCCAUCGCGCUUCGCCGCAGUAGCGCCCGGACCAGAAACUGUAGCAGUAAUGCCGUAGACGUCGCCCACGCCGCCAGCGCCAUACCUGCCGCCAGCCCUACCGCCGCCGCCGCCAGCGCAAGGCCCAAGCCGUACCCCACAACGGACAGCGCCGAAACCACCCACAAACCGUUCCACAAGCACAACAACACGCACGCGAAAACCACGGGCGCAGAGGCCGUCAGCAGUAGCGCGCCCACGGUUAGCCACGGCAGUAGCAGCGCCGCCAGCGACGCGCACCUUGACACCAGCGGCGGCACUAACAGCUCCCGUGCUGCAGCCGACAGGUCGCUGUACGAAUACGAGCCUGUGGCGAUCAGCUGCGCCGUCGCGCGUACGCGUAGGACUUCGGCGGCGGCGACGAGCGGCCGGCACCGACUGGCCCGUGGGUCAGCGCCGGCACGCAGUAGCAGCCGGAUGGCGGCGGUGCCGCCGGCGGCGCACGCCCGGACGAGCGCCUCACUGCCGCUGACCCGUGGGUCAGCGCCGGCAGCCAGCAGCAGCUCCAACACAGCUACGUGACGUGGUGUACGACCUUGACUUGCGGCAGCGAGCGGCGGCGCCAGGAGCAGCCUGGCGUCGGCUUCUGACCAGUGCUCGGCCGCCGUCCAAGUCGCCGCCGCCGCCGCCGCCGCCGUCAGCUCCGCCGCGUUCGUGUCGUGCAGAUGCUCCGGAGCGACGACGCCGUCGAUGCCGUUUCGCACCAGGCCGACAGCCUGCAGCAGUUGCCGUACCAGAGGCUCGUUGCCACACCAGCAGGCGGCCUGCAUCGCCGCCACGACGGCUAGCGUCGGCGCGCCGGCGUUUACGAGCUCCCGUACGACGGCGGCGUGAUUGGCGCGCGCGGCGCCGCGCAGAAGGGCUACCAGGGCUUCCUGGCCAUCGUCGCCGCCGCCGCCGCCGCCGCCAAGCAACGCACGGAGCUGGUACGGCUCCUGCACCGGUGCCGGCGGCAGCGGCGGCGGCGGUAGUUGUUGCGGUUGCAGCGGUGGCGGCGGCGCUUCCAGUUGUGGAAGGGGUUCCUGGUGCUGCAGCGGCGGCUGCAGCGGCGGUAGCGGCACUAGCAGAGGAUGCAGCUGCUGUCCUCCUGUCGGCGACGGCGGCAGCGGCAGCGGCGCCGCCGCCGCCGUCGCCACCAAGCCGACGGCCCCUUCCGAUGCCAGAGCUCGUACGAACGCGAGUGCUGCCUCGUCGUGCCGCUCCAGGGGCAGGCCACGCAGCAGCGCUCGGAAGAUGGUGCCGCCGCCGCCGCCGCUGUCAUCACCGCCGCCACCGCCGAAGCUUCCUGAAUAGGCAUAAAUCGCCGCCGCGCCUCGACCGUGCCGAUUAACCAGGAACUUCGCCGCCAGGACGGGAUCCGACAGUGCCGAGCGCCAGGCGUCGCGUAGGGCCCGGCAGGAACGUACGGCACCGCCUGCGCUUCCCGCGGCGGAGAUGAGGAUGCUCUGCAGUAACGGCUGAGGCAGGGAUGUCAAGGGCGCCCGGGAGGUGCCGCUGCCGCCACUGUGAUUUUUGUUCUUCUUGUUGCCCGGCGCGCCGGUGCCGGCGCCAAAAAAAUUGGCGGACUUGGGAUGGCCGCUUGACAGUCCUGACGAUGAUGACGAUGACGAAGAUAAGCGCGAGGAGUCUUCAAGCUGAUGCUGGUCAUUAAUUUGAUUCUCAAUUUGCUCAUGCUCAGAAGAAAGGUGAGGAUCUUGGCGCCUCGCUGGAGAAAGGAGCAGCAGGAAACUGCGCGCGAGCCGCAGCAACACCAUCGAUUUGAAAGAUUACAGCUUUCUAUCGCUGGCAAUAUGAUGCUAUGUCGGAUCUGAAAGAUACUUCCUUGUCUUAACAAAAGAAGAAGCUUGUUUCGCACGAGUUGAAGGUGCUUGUGGUGCUGUUGAGGGUGGCAGGUCAGCAAAGAACGCCUGCGCGCAAGGGCGCGCGCGCAGCACGUGAGCUAUGGGAUGAAAAUCCCUACUGCCACUGCUAAGAAAAAGGCGCAAACGAUUUUUUCCUGGAGCGCGCGGUUGCACGCAGUCACACUGUUUGGCCUCUCCCGUCGGGGAGCAGGACGCAGCGCCCUUGCCCCUUUGCGGAGCUUCCUCCCCCCUCUACAAAUCCAUCAUGACGCAAAAAUUUUUUCACAGCAACGAAGAGCGGCUUUCCUCUGCUGGGCUGCCUGCUCCAAAGGUCACGUGGAAGAGAUGUUUCACGUGAAAAGUGCCUUGGACUGCUUGGAAAAGCUUAUACACAUCAUGCAUCAUGUGUCAAAAAAAUCUAAUUCCGAUAGUACGUUCUGGUCUUGCUUUUCCAUGCGCUGAAUACAUUUCAUGGGAAUGAGCAUUUGCUUUGCAGAUGCGAAUGUUAUUUGGCCUUGCCGGUCGUUCAGGUUUCGAGAGGCUGUAGCCUUGAUAGGCGCAAGCAUUUUUCAGCUUAAUUCAACCCACAACGUUAGACCUUGGCUUUUAUCUUUUCAACGUUGUCAUCCGGUUGCAUGCAAACCCAAACCAAACGAGCAGCUGACGUCAUGGAUCGAAUGAAAGGACCUGCGGCCUGCAGGCUGCAACACUGUUGCACAAAUAAAGUGCGUCCUGUGGUCCUAAUAGGGUCCCAGUCCUCCAGGAUUGCCCAUCGCCAGCACGCCUGGGUCCCUGCCGCUACGUGUUGGGCUGGUGACCACAAACCCGCCGCCUUCGAUAGCAACUAACAUUUUAACGGAACAACAGUGACGUAAGUCGACACCCCUAGCACUAUCCACUGUAAUUACGGCUUCCAGUAUUAGUCGCAGCAGCGCUUCCUCGCAGCAUGCAAAAAGCCAAAUUCAGCUUCGCAACGAAGCUCUGAAUACUAUCAGGUCGUUACUGCUAAUUUAUGCAGUUCGUUCCAAAUCCCAAACGCGGCCACCGAGACGUGUUUUUGAAUUUUGGGAGCGCAUCGAAAAACAAACUCUGGCCUGGACACCUCUCUGCUUCACCAUCGGCAGGAGCACCAGGAACGCCAGCAACAACACGCAAGAAACCAGGGCGAUAGGAUCGACGCCAAACUUCAUUGUUCCCUUCCCGCAUUUUCCUCCGGAGCUCAGUUACCUUGAAGCCGAAGCCAGCGAUUCGAUGUAUCCGCCGCCUUCUGCGCCGCGUCAGCCUCUUCCUCAAGAUCACGCCGCCAGCGUCGAGAGCGGCGUCGGCAAGAAGCGCGGACUGCUACGGCGGAUGCUAGAUAAAUGUGAGAUGAAACACGAAAGCGAUUCAGAGCCCAUGGCGUUCGACCCCGUUUACUGUAAGACAAUAGCUGCGCGGCCGAGCCGCGCCCGAAACAUUUUUCAACCUCUUGAAUAUAUCUCUUUUAUCUUUUCUUGUUGGAAUAUUUAAAUUUGCUUCGUUUUUCAUUUUCCGCAGCUCUUCACAGUUCAAUUAGGAGCUUUGUUGAUAUCGCUUUGUUGACAGGUCGUGCCACUACCUUCGUGUCCUACCGCCUCCUCACAAGCGCAAGGUACCAUACAUCGUUGCAUCAAACCUCACCUCACCUUACCUGGAAACGGCCUCGUAAAUUUCGCAUGGGUCCUCGUACGACACGUACGGCGUUUCGGAUAUCAUAUAUCGUGCAUGUGCAGUAUUUCGGGAAAUCAUGUUGUCUUCGUUCGGGUACCUAAGUCUUGAAACCUUACAUCCUGCUCCGUGUCUAUAUGCGUGUGUAUAUAUGUAUAUACACAUACACACAUACACUACACACUCAUAUAUAUGUAUGUGCAUAUGUGAGACAAGUUAACUCUACUCCCCUGCCGCCUUGUCUUGUUCCGCCCAAAGCUUUGGUUUUUUGCUCCAUUCCUCUUUUCACAACUGCGCCCUCGCCCCGAAACCAAACCCGUUUCCAGGGCGAGUCAAAUUGGAGCCGGGGCUCUUGGCUCGCGCAGAGGCCGAGGCCGAGGCACACAUGCGACGGCAGCAACAGCUACAGCUGCAAAUACAGCAGCAUCAGCAAGAGCAGCUACAGCCACCCGGCACUGCAGCAAUUACUGCUACAGCACCACCACAGCAACAACAGCUGCAACAACUACAGCUGCAGCAGCCACCACUGGGUUCCCCGAGGGCCGUACAGCCGCCUCCGGCAGCCCCUGGAGCCAUUCCGCCGCCGCCGCCGCCACUGCCGUCACCACACUUGCUGGCCCCAGCGGCUUCCGUACAGCACACCGAAACCAGUACCGCACUGAAAAAAUCGCUACAACCGCCCCAACUAAAACCAGAGUCGCAACUGUUGGGGCAGCUCCAAAAGCAGCACCAGCAGCAAAGGCAGCAGCAGGCUAAUCAGGGUGAUGCAGAGCCUGAAAGGGCCUUAUCCAGCCCAAAGCAGAAAACACCCCUGGAGUUUUAUCCGCUUGAGAGCAAUGUACGGCAGUCGCCGGCAUCUGCCAAACAGCCCAUAACGCCGCCGCCGCCGGUGCCGCUUCCGUUAGGUACUACAGUGUACGGCAGGAGUGGUGGCGGCGCUGCCGUCGACGGCGAUCCUUCUGAAGGUCAUUUUCAGGCGGCGGGGCGGCCGGGGGCAACGGCUCCGAAACCGGGCGUGUCGGCUCAUGAACCCGAGCUUGUUGCAGAACCUGCGGCGCUGACGCCGCAGCCUUUGGAAGGUCUCGCUACUGCUGCUGCUGAUUCUCAACGGUCUCAACGAUCCCAACGGUCCCAACGGUCUGCCAUACCACAAAAAUCAAUCCUAGGUGCGGAGCGCAGCGUCGAAGCGGCGGCUCCGACGGCGGCGAUGUCCCUUGGGUCGUUGAUGUGCACAAGCGGUGGCUGUGGCAGCGGCGGUGGUGGCGGCGGCGCAACCUCGGGUGUACGACCGGCGGGCGACCGGCAGGCCCCCGUCGGCGGCGUCAGGCAGGAAGCAGUACGGCUGCCGGAGGAUGUCCGUACGGCACUGCGACAUGCUCCCGUACGCGUACCCGAAGCGUUGAAGUUGCUUCGCGACAGCGGCGGCGGCGACCGUGGAGGUCAUGAAGGCGGCGGCAGCGCCGCCGCCGCUGCCGCCGUCGAUGGCGGUGGCGUCGGUGGCUACGGCGGCGGGUCUUCCGGUUGGUUUCGGAGCGAUGGCAGUAGCGGCCUUCGGAGCUCUGUCGGCGCCCCCGGCCUGGCAACCGUGGGUUCUCAGAGUUCACCUUUUGACUUUCCCGGCUUACGUCCCCAACGGCAAUUUAGCGCCACGGCGGCAGCGGCGGCGGCGGCGGCGGGGGCGCCACAGCAUCAUCAUCCACGCCGUACAGAGGGCAGAGUUCCCAGCGACGAUAGCGCCUGUGCUCGUCCAGCAGCGACGCGGAAUACGGGUGCGAGCGCCGGCCAUGGCGGCGGCAGCGGCGGCAGUGGCGCGGGUAGCGCUGGCGACGGCUUUUGUCCAGCGCCGCCGUCGUCAUCGUCGGCGCCGCCGGAGGUGCUCCGUCGUCCUGGCUUGGACGGCGGGACUGCGGACCGUCGUGCAGAGUUCGCGUUCGCCGAUUUGACCACCCUGGAGCUGACUUCCUCUCCGUCAGCGGCGGCGGGGGAAAGGCCCUCCCUGGAGAGCGGGGCCGCCUUCUCAGCGGGUUGGCCAGAAUCAGCCGUACCUUCCGCCGUCGCUACCUUCGCCGUCAGCAGCGCCAUAUCGGACAGCCGCAUAGCCCAAUUCACGACAGGAAAUAGAGCUGACACCACGACAACAGAGCAGGGUCUACAGACGCCGCCGCCGCCGCCGCCAGCGGCGGCGGCGGCGGCGGCAGGGAUAGGCAGUGGCGACGCUAGCCACGGUAGGCUGCGACGGAGCUUUUCAGGAUCAGCGGAUGUACGGCAGGAGUUGCUGCCUGCCGUACGAGCUUCGAAUGAUUUUAUGUUGGGUGCGGAGAAGCACACGGGGACCUUGAUGUUGUACACGCCGCGGGGCGGCAGCUCCGGCCAGGCCUCUGGCGGCGGCGCCGCCGGGGCAGCGGGCUCCCCUGGCGACGCCGGCAGUAGCCCAUUUAGGUUCCGGACUGACGGAGCGGCGGCGGCGGCGGCGGCGGAAGGCUCCGAAACUUGUCCAUGGCGGCCGCCCGCCUGGCGGUGCUCCACGACGGGACAUUCAGAACUGAUCGGCAAUUCCCUCCGCUUCGCUCCGCCGCCGCCGCCGCCGUCCGCCUUGCCGCCGCCGUCAACGACCUCACAGACCAGCCCGCUAAGCCCGGAGCGAAGCCCCGACGGUGGCGCUAUGCAGCGCCGUCCAUCGUCACCGCCGCCACCGCCGCCGCCACCGCCGCCGCUGCUACAACCGUUACCCUCGUCCACCGGCCGCAGCGACGGCGGCGCCGCCGCCAGCGUUGCUCGCCAUCUUGGUCUCUUAGCGGCGGAACCUGCAGGCGCGGGCAUUCCAUCGUCAGAGUACGACAGGUGCGGCAGCGGUGGCGGCGGCGGCAACGUUUGUAUUGCAAGUACGCCGCAGGAGCUGCGGGGCUCAAAUGGCACGUCGCCCAGCGCCGCGGUAAUGGUGGCGGCGGCGCCGCCGCCACCGCCGCCAUCAAGCGGUUCCUUUAGAUCGCGCAGUGGCGGCGGCGCCGUGGCGAAUUGGCAACAGUCUGAGUUGUACCGCCUAACUGCGCCGGACAAUUCGACUGUCGUACAUGAUGGACGUCAGUCGCCGGACCAAGCACAGGCAUCCCCGGAGCACAAACAGCCACUUGGCGAGGCUGCGGCGGCAGCGGCGGCGGGCGACGUCCUAAACAAUGCUGUGCAGGGUACGACAUGUGUACGACGGCGCGGGGAACAGGUAGCGGAUCUGGAGUCUGCGGCGGCGUUGCCGAAUGUUGACGGCGCGGAAGUCACCGCCGGAGGCGAGGCAGCAGGGGCCGGCGGCGGCGGCGACGGUGGCGGCGAUGGCGACGGCGGCGGCGACGGCGCCACGGCCGGUGGCACCGCCGCCGCCGCCGCCGCCGUGGCGGCUGCGGCUCUGGAUACACCUGAGGCCGAGGACAGCAGCGGCGAAUUCGGUCCCGAUGCCCCUGUUGCGGGCGGCAGCGGCGGCAACGGCAGUACGGGGCGGCAGGCCAUUAUGGACGAGCUGGAUCGUUUUAUUCUUCAGAUCCAGGACGAGCUGACUGAGGUGGCCGUACAGCGCGAACACACCAGCUUUCGGUGAGUGAGGCGGGGUGUUGCAUUUCCGUACGGGGGGAAAGGGGGGAAAUGAAUCAGUUGGGAGCAGGGUUUCUAACGGUACUAACGGUAAAGAAACACCACACACCCACACGCACCACUUGGUGGCCAUGUCGAAGUGGAUCAGCCUUGGCUGGCGAUUGAUGGCCAACGUGUUUCUGUCUGUCCGUCUGUCUGUCUGUCUGUCUGUCUGUCUGCUUUAAGUUUGUGUCAACUGUUUAAGUGCCCUAAGUUUGUACCUGUCGAACGGUUAUGCUGGUUGCACCGUUUGUGUCGGUUACAGCGUCUGUUAUACGGGUUGUGUCGGUUGCACCGGUUAACUCCAAGAUAGGCUGAUAUAUAUUUCAGGUGGCGGAGAUAAUGAUGGCGGCAUUGACACGCACAGUGUGUGUAAAACCCUUGCUGUGCUCGCCCCGCACCCUUAAUGCUCCGAAACCAAACCCGGAAGCCAGAUCCCGGUCUCCCUUUCCCACCACUCGUGCCCCCACGCCCAGGCUACGCCUGAUCGCGUCCCUGCUAGAAACUUCGUCUCGUCAUCCAACUGCUAUUCCAACUGCCGCCUCAACGGCCACACCAACCGCCACGCCAACCGCCGCAACUACCGCAUCCUGGGAUCCUACCGGCGGCGGCGCCGCCGCCGCUCCCCCCCCAGUGUCCGCAUUGAAUGAGCGGUUGUUGGACGAGCAAUGGAUGUUGCGGUUGCACCUGGCGGCACUGGAGUCACGUGAUGAGCUGUUGCAAUUCGCGGCGAAGGAGUGGGCCAAGGCGCGCGCUGUGAUGACAGGUAUGUCUGUGCGUGUACGAGUAGGAGUACGAGUAGGAGUACGAGUACGAGUACGAGUGUGUUUUUACGCUGGCACUCUCUGUCCCAUUCUCGUCCCACUCUCGUCCCACUCGCCGCUCGUCACUCUUUCACCCCACUCUCGGCCAGGUGUGCGUGUAUCUCGGCGCCAGGCAGGGCCGUUGCAGGCCAUACUCUUCUCAGACACACUCGCACGCAUAAGAGCGUUCCAGAAAGAGCAACAACUGCAGCAGCAGCAGCAACAGCCCACGCCGCCGCAACAGCCGCCAGCUCCACAUGAUCAUCAUCAUCAGCAGCAGCAGCAGCAUCUGCAACAGAAAGUGCUUCACCCGGAUUUGAACUCAGAUCUGGAUCAGCGUCGUACAUCAAUGCCCCCGCAUGGCGUCGGUCUGGUUCGGGAGGGGUCGGCGCGACAACUGCUGACGUCGUCGUCUACAGCGGCGGCGGCGGCUGCCGUCGCCGCGACGGGACCCGCCGCCGACUGGCGGAGCGUCAACAGCGGCGGCGGCGGCGGCGAACGCUCAGGACCCGGUUCCAGUCAGCCUCCGCCGGCGCUGUUAGGUGCUCAAGAUCGUGAGCGGAUGAGGCCGCCGCCGCCGCCGAGACAGCCGCCGCCGCCGCCGCCGCAGCAGCAGCAGCAGCAGCAGCAGUCGGCCGAGAGCCAGAGCCUUCGUGGCGCAUGCAGGCAAUCGACCUUGGCGGCGUCGCCGCGAAUCGGUGUCGCUGGCGGCGCCAGCGGUGCCAGGCUGCCGCCGCCGUCGGGUCGCGGCGGCGUCGCCGGGGCCUGUCGUACCAGGCGCCGGCUACAGCCCAUCUUAGAGCACGGCGGCAGUAGCUGCGGCGGCGCCGGGGGUGAGGGGAAAUCCUUGGGAGAGGUGGCCGCCGUCGCAUCAGUCGGACAAGGUCCUGCUGGGCAGCAGUACGACGCGUACGGCAGUCAAGGCACCAGCCGCUACCUGGCCGCGUCGCAGAGGUCCGCCGCAGUCCCCGGCGGCGGCAGCAGCGCCGGCGGCGACCUUGACUACCGUACGGCGGCGGAGCCGCGGGUGGAUGUGCGGAAUACGUACAGUAUGUACGGGGAAUACGGCAGACCCUCGAGGGCCCCGCCAACGCCACGGCAGCAGCAGCAGCAACAUCGGCUCCCAGACAGCCAACAGCGCGGAGGCGCCGAAGCGGAGUACGACGACGACAUGUACGAGCAGAUGUACGAUUAUUUGGAGCAGCACUUAUCGGCUCAACAUGGUACGGCAAGACCAUAGGAACGAGAUUCGUUUUGCAAGACAGGGAUUGUUUUUUGCACGUCGGCAGACGUAUGAAGUGUUUUCGUAAGAGUUUCUCCUAAUGACAAAGUUACGUCUGCACAAAAGCGCACCCCUAGGCGCGGUGCUGUUAAGAACGUAACGAACCCUUCGGUUUUAAUGCGGUUUUAAUGCGGUCAACAAAGGGAAAGAUAAAUUGGAAAAGAAGAAGUUGACAAAGUAGCAGCUGGCGCAGCAGUCACCAUGCAAUACAUAUCUUUUUUACCAUGUAGUCACGAUAUACAAUAAUGUGAUGCAGAAAAUUUUGAGUUUGAACAGAAUUUUGAAAUUUUGGGACAGAAAAUGCUUUUGUUCGCCGCAUUCCGUUUCUUUGGAACCCCGAUCUCGACCGCAUCUCACGCAGCUCAUCUGACUUCCGUACUCCGUAUCUGUUGAGACCCCAAAGCCCCGCCCCGUCCUUUCCCCGGCCUCCCUCGCCUUCCCCCAGCCUCGGAGCACUGUUUCUCCGUGAACGACAACUGCGAGUACGACAAUUAUGAUGAUUUCGUACAAGGGCCGGUCAUGUCGCCUAGUCGCCCGGGCGGCGGCGGCGGCGGUGGCGGGGAUGAGGAAGAGGAGGAGCUUGGGGUUUGCGAGGAAGGGGAGGGGGAAGGGGAGGGGGAAGGCGAGGGGGAGGAAGGGCACGAGGGUAAGGCCCAGGAUGGCGGUGAAGAGUACGACACCGAGGAAGACUCCGAGCUCCAAUCUGCGUUCUUAGCUUCUUGCAUAACCCUUGCUCGUACAUCUUUGGACAUCCAAAGCCCUUCCAGUGCAGCGUACGGCAAUCGGUACGGCGCCCCGUACACAUCAUCCUCACCGUACACAAACCGUGGCCAUGACGCGGAGGACGAGCCGGAGGUGGUGGUAGAGACGCUGGACGCGUACGGCAGGUACGCUGCCGUCGGCGUCGGCGUCGGCGGUGGCGGUGGCGGGAGCUACAAGUCGCCGCCGUCCGCUGCCAGGUGGCCGGCGCCACGUGCAGUUGCUGGCGGCGGCGGCGGCGGCGGCAAGGCGCGUGUGACCCAAGGCGCGUUUGGAGGUCCACGUACGGCGGCAGCGACGGAGUCGAUGCCGGCACCGCCGCCGCCACAGUCGUUUCAGCAGGGUUGUCACGAAUCAGGGGGUCGCCCUACGGCCACCCCCUUGUCGACGACGCCGGGGGCAAGACCAUGUUCCCAAUUCCUACAGUACAACCCGUACGACAUGUCGUCACCGCAUCACAGCGGUCGUCCGAUGUCGUACCAACCGCAAGCGAUGACCAACCGGCAGCUGCAGCAGCAGUACCAGCUCCAUGAGCACCACCAGCACCAGCACCAGCACCAGCAGGCGUUACGACCACCCGUAAGGCCCUCAUUGCGCGAGGUUUCACCUGCCGUACAUGGGGGCUCCGGCUUGCAGCCACCGCCCCCGCCACAGCCGCCGCCGCCGCCGCCACCGACGCAAUCGCAGCUCGCCACCCGUCAGCCCCGCUCAUUAUUCCUUGGUGCCCAACACCAACCGCCACAACAGCUACAACUGAAGCAGCAACUGUCGCAGUACAACCAACAACAGCACCAACAACUGCCGUACCGACAGUUGGUACACCAGCAACGACAGUCCAACCAACAACAACAUCAGCAGCAGCAGCAGCAGCAGGUCAGCCGCGGACCGUCACCGUCACCAUUACCAGCAUCUCGCCCUCCCUCCGUAAAACCAUCGACAGGAAGGCCGCCGCUGUCCGCGUUUCAGAUGGCACCGGGGCUUUUGGCGGAAGGUGCGUGGAGGAUGUGAGGGUGGGUGGGUGGCCCAUGAUCUAGCCAAACCAUCCGUCAGGUCAAACUGGCCGUGCAGCGCCAUAGCGAUUCUUUUUCUUGACGCAAAGUGCGAUGGGCGAGUGAGCCACCACUGGGGCUGUUUGACAACAGGGCUUCAGAAACCGCUUCACCGCCUGUGAGCUCCCCCCAGAUUUUACGUGGUUUUGCAGUUCCCCCCGCUUUCCUCCGUUUAAUAAUAAACCACCUGUGCCCUCCACCCUGCUAGCCGGACGACUACGUCACGGCAUUUUAUAGUGUCAGGUUUUUACCGCACGCACAUAUGCUUUGUCGAUGCGACAGUCGUAUGACACGACAGCUAAUGGACCCGGAAUAUCGUAAUAACACAGUGCUGCAUACUUUUGUAUGUGCGCCAUGCAUGAAGGGUCAUCACGGCUGACUGCUGGCUCUGUACGACAGUCGUCAUCAUCGUCGUACUGGCGAGGAUCCCAACAGAUGCAAUGGCUGGAGGAGCUAGUGGCAGAUGAACCGUCGCCGGAAGGGAUGGAAGCUGCUAGCCUUAGCCGGCAGCAGCAGCAGCAGCUACAGCUACAGCAGCAGCAGCAGCAGCAGCAGGGCCCAUAUAAGCGACAUGCCUACCUAGACGCAACCGUCACAACGGCCAACAGCGGCACCGAUGGCAUCGGCGACGGUAGAGGGGUAAGUACGACAUGGCUGGACGAGCAGCGACAGCAGGCCGUGGCGGAACCGGCAUGUUGGGUGGCAUCUGUCAGCGGUCGCGGCGCUGGCGGCCCCACUGGCGGCGGCGGUGGCGGCGGUGUCGGCGGUGGCGGAAGUUCCGCAGCUCGUACGACCAGCUGGUCGCACCAGGCAGGUCGGCACGAUCGCGGGCUAGAGCUAUCGGCUUCGCGAUCAGCAGUUGAUGCCUGGUUGGAGCAGCAGCAGUAGCAGCAGCAGUGCCAAUUGCAGCAGUAGCGGUGCCAACAUGAUGCAUAUUGCGAUGGCAGCGUUGGCACUUUAUCUAGCAUUGGUAUGAAUUGGCGACAGAAAAACGUUGUAAUGUUGGCACAGGCAGCGGCCUUUGCAGUAGCAGUUACAGCGACGUUAGUACUAUCAGCAGUAGCAGUAGCAGCGGCGUUAGCACUAUUAGCAGUUGCAGUAGCAGAAGCAGUGGCAGCAUUUGUAAAAUUAGGUGCUCCAGCUCGCAAAUAGUACUUAUAUGCCGUUAAGAUGUACAUUGGAUAUCCAGCAGUAGAAGCUCGUCAACAUUCACAAUCAUAAUCGCGGCGGUGUGUAUGAGGUGGUACACUGCUCCCAAUUUGGUUCAGGCGGCGGUGCAAGAGCGGGACACACACACACACCCAAACGCCCCCCCACACUGUUAUAUCACGUCUUAUCGCAGGAAAAGAACCGAUCGGCGGAUCCCGGCUAGAUCCCGUGAUACCCAGGAUACUACACACACCAACACACACCACCCCAGACCCCACCAUACACCCCACCACACAACCCCACCACCCCACCACACACACCGUCGCGCGGUCGCCGGUAUCUCUCAGCAAUUUCGCUCCGUUUUCUGGCACGUAUGUCUAGCUGGCAGGCAGGUCGUCGAUACGCACAGAUAUACAUACAUACAUAGGAACAGCGAUCUGCUUGCGUUUUCUUUGUUUGCCUGUUGGCUAGAAGCUAAAACGCUCAAGGAAUGACCCUACUUCGUAAAGGUCCUUGUAUUUUCUUCAUGAAACUUUUCACUCGAACCCCCCGUGCGAGUCUUAUGUAUGCAUCAUCUCUGCUUAAGCUUCAUAUGAAUCUUAGGAGCCCACUUCACAUGUCGAUACGAACUUGUUGAUGUUGUUACAGGGUGGUUAAGCUUCACCAGUGGCCUCCUUCCCGAGGCAAUUCCCUGCUCUCCCCUGCUAGAGGGGCACCCUAAGCCAUUCACCCCAUCCGACUUCAGAGUGUUUGGCAACUCACCACCAGCAUCCAACCAAAUCUAGCGGAUCAACGGCGCGUCAACUUAGUUCCUGGUCAGCUCGCGAGUACGAACUGCUUGACAAACAUGAAGAAGGAUACAAAAUCCCUAACAGAUUUUCAGUGGGUUGCUUACCAAGAUAAGCAUGUUGUAGAGCUUUAGCCAAUCAAAAGGGAGCUGUUACACUCAGCAAGGCGCCACGCACCCCCUUACCCGCAGGUCCCAGUACUGCCUGGUACUGCUAUCACCAUCCCCUAACUUUUACAUCGGCUAAUUCUCCAAGAGUUUUGUAAAACCCAACCAUUCGCUGGUUUUGUAUGAAUGAGUGUCGGUCACUGUCCAGCAGGAGGUCAUCCGAGAUGCGUCCAUGAAGUCAAUGGCGCCCCUGUUCGAGCCACAGCAGUUGCUCCUCCUGUGAGCUAAGAUGGGCUUGCAACAUGUUGCAUGUCAAAUUGCAUUCCUAAACUACCUGGUGGCUGGUAAUGUUAAGGACGCAGCAGCUGAAGCUGAUAAAGCUGAUAACGCCUUCAACAAAAAUCCACACGGAUCGCGGAUGGAUGCCUUCUUGUUUUUCUUCUGACAGGAUAGCAGCCAACAGGAGCAAAUUAAGUUGAAAUUUCUUAUCCUCGGCAGCUGUUGUUUACAUCGUGAUUUUCCAUGACCUACAACAACCGCCCGGGCAGCGAUGCCGCCAGAGCAACAAACUUAGCUAUCAACCAAAGUCAAUCCAGUAGCGGAUCCGCUGUUAAGGACGUCGCCGCUAAAGCAUCCGCGUGCUAUCUUGGACAGCUGAACAGCUUCCCUGAACCCCACCACCGAUGAUCGGCCCCUCCCAUGUUUGAUGUCCCGGCUCUGACCGGCUCGACCCUACACUUACCUCUAAUGCUGUGUGUGUAGUUGUUAAAGUGGGCUCCAGGCUCGCGAAGAUCCAGAGGGCUAGCUGGCCGUGCACUGCACUAGACUCUUAACAUAAAACUAGACCCAUGCUGCCUGGAAAACCCCUUGCCUAUUUUUCAUGGCCGGCCUCUGUAACAACUACACACACACGCACUUCCACCUACUGUUUUAACGAACAACCGCACAUACUUUCAGGCUCAUAAACACCGACAGAGAGCUUUGAAGUACAGCAGGUCAUGAUGUCUGAUUCAGCCGGUUACUGUUAGUUGUCCUUCCGAAAGCAUUAUUUUGAGCUGACUUGACAUUUCCAAAGCUUCUUAUCAACCAAACGAAAGGGAGAGUAAAGGACGGAGAAGAGUCAUGAAAGGGAAGCGGCGGAGCUAUUUCCCCGCAUUCCGGCCUGUUCCGGCAGUGCGCCAUCCUAUCUAUAUCUAUAUAUUUUCAUAACUGACCAAAUUAUUUUGACUUGGAAACCGCCGAGAUCUGGAAACCGAUGACCUACGAAAAUUUCGAAACCGAUGACAUAUGAAAAUUUGGAAACCGACGAGUUGUUCGUAAUUGUACUUGACCCGGCCGCGGCCGGGUCACCGCGGUAACCUCGAUGGUCUCGAUUUCCUCAGCUGAGUCAUGGAACGACAAACAACGGUUAUUAAUAAGAGGGUGUUCGCGCAACUUUUUUUCCCGCUUCGUAGAUUGGGAAGAGUAGCACCACACCUUCACGCCCCUAUUACCCUAAGCAUCCCUGUCCCGAACUGCCUCGAACUCAACAGCGCAUCAGCCGUGAAAAAAUCUUGUACGAGUCGAAAUCCUUUCCUAUAGGACAUUGCUUGUUUUGGAGCUAUGCCCAACCCCCACGAACGUGCAUGCAUUUGGACAUUCAUUCCGGCCCGGGAAUGAAUCCAACCAUAUGCCAUCAGGGUUCCCAUGCCGUUGCUUCAGCUGCUGAAGCAACGGCUGCACGCAGCCCACAGCAGCUGAUGACCGUAUAGCAACAAACCCUAAGCUAUGUGUUCCGAUCGUUCGUGAGUAGCGAGAGCCACUAAGUGCGAGGGUACAUCGCGUUGACAUUCCGAGGGCGAUUGUAAAACCUUUUGUCAGUUCGUAUGGCGUAGUACAGUGCGGUAGUGGUGGAUGGUGCUAUAAGGUGAUAAAUCGUAGAAUUGACAAUGUGAUAAAGCGGCAAAGAAGCGUCCCACUCUGUAAUUACAAAUAUAUUACAAAUUAUCCGUCGACUUAAGACGACGGCGACACAGUCUUACAACGACCAGAUCCCGAUGUUUAGUACUACUAUUUCUCAGCGCCACCACACCUCCAUUCAGAAGAGGUCGGAGCAUCACCAGCAGGCAGCAGCUCCAGCAGUUGCAGGUUGGUCGUGAAGGCGCGCACCCGAUGAGAUUUCUCUGCCUUGCAUGAAGCACGUUAGCGCGAUGAUGUGUGCUAAGCUAUGGCUGCAAUAACAAGUAGACCACAGUGUUUGCCUACGACAAGAUUGGUUCCGCUGCUGGUUGAAGCUGCUCCGGGUGCAAUUGCCGGAAAAACCGCUGCCGUACGGUCGAUCCUUGGGAAGGAUGGCAGGACCCUCCCAGGAAUAAAACCUUAUCAUUCUCUUAGCCCUGACCCCCAUGGCCAUAUAAAAUUGAGAACAAGUUGCGUGUACACCCUUUUAUUUUGGCGGUCCUGAUAGUAAACCUAUCAGGUUUACUAUCAGGAUAUAAAUAUAUAUAAAAUCAGGACCGCCAAAAUAAAAGGGUGUACAUGUAAAAGGGUAUACAUAAGCGUUUUAGAGCGUGCCAAAAAACGUAGGUUGUGGUCGUGCGCGCACUGCUGACAGCCUUGGGUGUCUGCUGCCGCGCUGCAACUGGUCGUCCAUGCUGCCCCGCUGAUCAUGAGAAGGUGCAGCAGAGGGGUGCAAAGAUUAGGGAUUGGGUUCGGGUACCGGUCAGGCAGAAAUUAGGAUUAGGAAAGAGGGGCAGGAUUAGGAUACAAAGUUGAGGGCAGGUUUAGGAUGAGGACCCUAGUGUAGGAUUAGGAUUGGGCCCCCCCCCGGAUUGGGAUUGGGACCCGGCCACAGGAUUAGGAUUAGAACCCCGACCCUAGGAUAUGGAUUAGACCACCACUCUGGAUUAGGGAUUAGAAGUGGUCCACCCCUGUUAAGAUUAGAGGAUUGCUGACCGGUACCCACCCCCUGGAUUAGAGGAUUAGGACCACUUUGCACCCCUCUGGGUGCAGUGCAC
rnacentral:lncRNA from 1 species